AACGAACGCUGGCGGCAUGCCUAACACAUGCAAGUCGAACGAGACCUUCGGGUCUAGUGGCGCACGGGUGCGUAACGCGUGGGAACCUGCCCUUAGGUUCGGAAUAACUCCCCGAAAGGGGUGCUAAUACCGGAUAAUGUCUUCGGACCAAAGAUUUCUCGCCUUUGGAUGGGCCCGCGUUGGAUUCGCUAGUUGGUAGGGUAAAAGCCUACCAAGGCGACGAUCCAUAGCUGGUCUGAGAGGAUGAUCAGCCACACUGGGACUGAGACACGGCCCAGACUCCUACGGGAGGCAGCAGUGGGGAAUAUUGGACAAUGGGCGAAAGCCUGAUCCAGCAAUGCCGCGUGAGUGAUGAAGGCCUUAGGGUUGUAAAGCUCUUUUACCCGGGAUGAUAAUGACAGUACCGGGAGAAUAAGCUCCGGCUAACUCCGUG
rnacentral:rRNA from 1 species